UCUUUUUGUUUAUUUAUAAAGUCUAACCUGCCCCCUGAUUAAUUAAAUGGCCGCGGUAUUUUGACCGUGCUAAGGUAGCAUAAUCAUUAGUUUUUUAAUUGAAAGCUGGAAUGAAGGGUUUCAUGAAAAAAUAACUGUCUUAUUUUAAUUAUUUUAAAAAUUUAUUUUUAAGUUAAAAAGCUUAAAUUUAUUUAAAAGACGAGAAGACCCUAUAGAGUUUAAUUAUUUAUAAAAAAUAAAAUUUGUAGAAUUAAUUAUUAUUUUUUUAAUAAAUAAUUUAAUUGGGGUGAUUAAAAAAUUAAAAUAACUUUUUUUUUAUUUAUAUAUAUAUGAAUAAAUUUAUGAUCCAUAUUUUUUGAUUAUAAGAAAAAAUUACCUUAGGGAUAACAGCGUAAUUUUAUUUUAAAGUUCUAAUUGAAAAUAAAGAUUGCGACCUCGAUGUUGGAUUAAAA
rnacentral:rRNA from 1 species